CCUCCUGACACCAGCCUAAAUCCUGACAGUGGGGUCUGUCCUCUGAGAGUGGGAAGCCUCUAGUCCUUUAAGGUCGGCUGCUAGGGCCUGUGCUCCAAAGCAAGGGGCAGGGGCAGCCUGCAGCUGCCCACCCAACCUGGUCUUCAUGCCACAUUGCACAGGACACUGGAUCUCUUCUAUCCUCAUGGAGAAGAGGGGUUCCUGCCCAGGAUCAUACAACACAUCAAAUAGCAUAGCACUCCUUUCUUCUCCCACCUCAUUUUAUUUUGGUUGGGGUCAUGGGUUGUUUCUUUGAGAUUUACGUUUUUAUUUUUGAGGGGUUAUCACCUUCAAGUAAAACAGUAAGAGUGAAGGUACUUUGGAACCGCUAACACCUCUGCACAGGGCAGUUAGCCAGCUCAAGUUCUUUUUCAGAGAAAGGGACUUGGCCAGUGCUUUGAGUACCUCCGCUUCACCUCACGGACAAGGCAGCUGGCCCAGUCUGGGGAGUCUGCCCAGGACAGUGGUGGAGGUGGGUCUUGAACCCCAAUCUGUACCUAAAAGUCUAAGGGAAAUGCAUCAUUCUUAAAGGGGCAACAGUGACACCAUCCCUGUACUCCUGGGUCCUUGUCUUACAGUGCCUAAGGCAUGGCAUGGUGGCAGCUGGCCCCUCCCCCAACCAGGUGACUCUGGGGACAGAGGUGGACUUUGUUUAGGAGGGGGGUCAGAGCACGCAGCCAAAUUGCUCCUCAACCCUAGACAAAGCCUUUGGCCAAAAUGGAGGUGCUGUUAGCUGGGCAGCCCUUCUGGGUUUCAGAGACUGGCGUUGGCUCCAGACUGGUCUCAUCUACAUUGCCUUAAUGACAAGUGGCCCAGGAGUACCCAUGCACAGAAAGUGUGGGAUGUGGGCAUCUUCAGAUGUUCUGGUAAAAUUGUGAGAUUAGCUGUAUGAAGGAAACCAGUGGGAGGAAAGGAAGUUCUCAGGAUGGCGAGAUGUGAUUCACACACAGUGCACAUGCUGGUAGGUCUGUCACCGGGCAGUGGCCUUCAUGGAGAGUGGUACCAGCACCUCAGUCCAUCCAAGAUGUUUAGCAAUGCUCAGUCUCUGGUCCCAGAGGAUGGCUUCUCAGGGCAUGCUGCAAGUUAAAGGUCACCUGUCUGGAAGAUGAAUGAGAAAGCUGCCCAUUCUCAAGACCCAUCUGCCUAGGGAGGGUCACAGAGGCAGGAUGUAAGCCUCAGGGUGUGGCAUUCGUGCACAAGUCAUGAAAAUCAGGCUAGAGAGAGAGCCUGGACAUCAGGGACUUCUGCCCACAGCACAUGGCACCCACAGCUGCCCAGCCUGUCCACAUGCUGGGAUCCAGCACAGCCCCUGAAGCCACGUGGGAAAGUGGGCCUUGUUCACUAUAGCCACAGGGGGAUGAAAGGGGCCUUGGGCUUUGCAGAGAUGUUAUAUAUAUUUUGUUUGUAAUGAGCCAUUCUCCGUAAAUUCUCACUGUAAAAUGACAAAAAAAAAAAAAAGGCCUAGCAAAGACCUCAUUCACUUUUAAUCUCCCUCAUUUUUCAGUUCAUUCUCUGCUUAUUUUCUGGUCAGCCCAUGACCCCAUAUGUCAGUGGACGGGUGAUCAAUUUGCCACCUCAGGGCUCUGGGUGGUCUGCUACCUCCGAGGCUGGGGCGGCCUCCAUGGCCUCCAUAGUAAUGGCCCCAUGGGUGUCUCUGCCAAGUGGGAAAGAUGCAGCCUGCUGGCCCACUGCCUCAUCCCCAGCGUCAUGGAGGGACCCUGGCCACUGAGGACAAAGGCCCUGGGUGCUGGCCUGCAGGGCAGCGGGCACCAGUGAAAUCCCAUUCUCUGGCUGGAUACACAGAUGGUCUCAAAUGAGAGAGACGCUGUAUCUGGUACCAAAAGAAGAUUGGAGCAUACGAUCAGCAGAUAUGGGAAAAGUCAACUGAACAGACUCGGAUUAAGGGUUUCAAAAACAAACCAAAAAAGAUGGGCUAAACAAAGCCAGACUUGACUGAUGUUGACUUAAUCAGAGGCUCAACAUUUGCCAAGGCAAAACCUGAAAUUCCAUGGACACCUCUGACUCGGAAGGGGCUUGUUCAAGUUGUAUUUUUUCCAUUGUUCAGCAAUUGGUGGAUUCAGGUUACCUCUUUAAGAAUCUUUGUUUGGCUGUUACUGCUUUAUUUCAUGCAAGUUAUAGCAAUUGUCUUAUAUUUGAUGAUGCCUACUGUGAACGUAAAUGAAGUACUUGGAUGCCUGUGUCUUAUGCUACUCAUGGGAACUGUCCACUGUCAGAUUGCUUCUACUCAGUUAGCAAGCCCAUCAGGAAACAAUGGAAAUCGGAGAAAACGAAAAUUAGGAAAAACUGUAAAUGGCAAUGGGAGCUGAGAAAAUGGAAAUAACUCCUCUGAUAAAGUCAGAGGAGUAGAAACUUUGGAAUCUGUACCCGUUAUUGGUGGUUUUGGGGAGACUAUCUUUGGCAACAGGAUUAAAAGAGUAAAUUCAUAUCUCAUAAAGGGGCUGAAACUGACAAUGACCCAAGUUGUGUCCAUCCUAUCAUUAAGAAGAGACAAUGUCGACCAGAGAUUAGAAUGUGGCAAACAAGAGAGAAAGCAAAAUUUUCAGAUGGAGAAAAGUGCCGUAGGGAGGCUUUCCGGUGUUUGGGUAAUGGAGAAUCUUAUGACGUGUCAAGUGAGGAAGAUGGAGAAGCACAGACACAGAUGAUACUAUUGUGUAGGAGUGUGGAAGGGGACAAGUGACAAUGGUUGUGGAGUUAAGGAUAGAAAAUCAGUACUUUCAAAGCACCUAAACUCUCAAGUAAAGAAAACCACUACAAGGUGGUGUUAUCUUGUGUGGGAAUUAAAUAGUCUGGCGGAAUCAGAAUUUGAAUCAGCAGCCUUCAGCCAGGGCUCUAGAUCUGGUGUGAGUGGUGGCUCUCGAAGCCUCAACAUGUCAAGAAGAGAUUCAGCACCCGCCAUGACUCGGAGACUGAGGAUAUGUUAUGGGAUGACCUGCCACA